ACCCUCCCGCAACCGCCCGCAACCGCAAACGCUAGCUGGAGCCAGCUUUUGAAUUUAUGAGAUUCGGAGCGGUUUGAAGCGGUUUAAGGCGAUUUGAGUGAUUGUUGCAAACCGCCGACAACCGCUACCGACCGCAAAAGCUGCGUUUGCGGGUGGUAGCGGGAAAACCAAUCGCCACCUAUGUCAUGUGUGUGUUUGGAAAAUGUUGAUGUCAUGGACUUGUUCUGAAUUUCCUUGGUUAGGAAAACAAUUUGAAACUAAAAUUAAGUAUGUUUGGUUUUCAAUGCGUUAGACAACUACUUAGACAGGAGGCAUUUUUAAAUAGAAAAGAAAACAAAUUGAAAAUGAAGAGAGGGAAGAAGAAUAUUGUGAAAGACAAGUCACAAGCCUAAGGAUUAAAGAAGGUGGGAUCCACCAAAACAUUCUCCUUGAAAUCUGUGUGUUUGAAAUUAUACAUCCCACCAUGGUUUCAACUUCAUCAAUCUAGAUCUUGACCUUGCUGUUCUUUGUUUUUUUUAUUAAUUUGUUUAAUCGUUAUAAUUGCUUACACUGAAAGCACAUAAAACUAUUUUACAAUGUGUUGAUAAAAUUGUAUUAGAUUAAAGUUUUAAAGGAUUAAAUGUAAUUAUGGUGGCGUUGAUCAACAUAGACAUCAAAGUCAAAGAACUUAGGUGGUGUUUUAAGGUACUAAAACCGUAUCCAAUGGUUUACUUUAUUUUAGAUUAGUUAUUACUCUAAAAUAGAGUAGAGUUUCUUUCCAAUGAUUUACUCUAUAUUUGACUCUAAAAAAAAAUAUUCUAAAAUAUAUUCUUUUCUAUUUUAUAACUAAUAUCUUUUACUUACAAAAUUUACAAAUUGACUCUUUAUAUUUUAUUUUUUACAAAAUUUUCAUAAAUUAUAUAUUUAUAUCAAAUAUUUAUUAUAUUAAAAUUUACAUUACUUUGUACUAAUAACAUAAUACAUUUUAACGUAAACAUCUCCAUUAGUAUAUCUUUCCUACAAAUGAUCAUAACAAAUUUCAGAGUAUGAAAUAAAUUUUUUUAUCUUUGAAUCUUUUCUAAAUCGACCAAAAAAAAUUCUUCAAAUCGAAUAUUAUCAUUCUUUCGUGUUUGAAUCUGUGUAGGUGGAACUUCUCUUCCUACUUUAGUUGGUGCGCUAAAAUCACAUUCAUCCUCAUAUCAUGCUGUAUAGAAUUAUACAUGUAGUAUAUAUGCAUUGGUCACCAAUACAUUUUUAUAUAUUUUAGUUACAUACAUGCAUCAAAAAUAUUUAGUUUGUGACUUGAAUUCAUCGCAAGAUCUAGAUGUUCGUGAAUAUUUUCAGAGGAACGAACAUGAAUUUUAAAAACAAAAAAAGACGUGGUCAACAACAUGAACAAGAAGCUACUCCUUCAUUUACCUCAUUUGGACAAUAUUUUAACAAUCUUGUUCGAUCUGGAAGCAAUUUACCAAAACAUUAAGUCAUUAUCAUCUAUGGUUUUAAUUUUAUUUUGAGUUACUUUUUUUUAAUUUUAGUAUUUGUUUUUUGCUAAUAUUAAAAAAUAUGUUUAAUUUUAGCGCUUGUUUUCUUUGGCUAAUAAUAAUACAUUUUAAAUGUUUCUAUAUAUAUAUAUAUAUAUUUUGUUAAACAUUAUGUGUUGUUUGCAUAAUUAGAUUAAAUAAAUAGUUACAAAAUAAAAAGAUUGAAGAAUAAAAGAACUAAAGUAUAAAUAAAAAAGUUUCACUCUAUUAUAUAGUAAGAAAUAGAGUUACUCCAAAUAUAUAGUAAGAAAUAGAGUUGCACUAUUUUGUUAAACAUAAUUAUCUGUUGUCUCUUUUGUCUGAGAAUUAAGAUUCGUUCCUAGGACAAUCGGAGUUCUGCUGUUAGUUUGUUGCUGAGUUCACGCUUUGAUUCUAUGGUCUAUCUUUCUGUAUCUGUUUAUGUAAAAUUGAUUUUCCAAUAUAUCUCGAGUUCUUAUGUCAAAUUGAGCUUUGAGAACUUAAUCGCUUAGCUGAUCUGAUCUAAAAUUUUCACCAGAAUGCUAAUGCAUUAUCUCAUUGGCUUGAGUAGUAGUUCUACAUUUCUGUUUGGAUGUUAAGUGUUAACUUAGAUCGUAAGGUUUAGCCGUCAAAAAAAGAGACAACCAGAUGUAUUUGGUGUAGGGUUCAUCUUCACGGUUUGUGUGGGGUUUAACCAACUUCUUCCACCAUCUCAUUCGUUCACGAUUUGCGUGGGUUCUGUUCUCAUAUGAAAGUUUAUGUUUUGUGUUUCUGUUCUCACGGUUUUAUUUGGCUAUUACAAGAACGUAUUAUUAUUGUCUUGUUCAGACUUGAAGAAGUGUAUCUUCAGUUAUUUUUGUGCUUGAAUUUCAUGUAAUUGCAGAAAGAUGUUUGGUUAUUGAUUUACAGACUCUUUUUUUUUGUGAUUUUCUUGAAACAAAGUCUAAAUGUUUGUUUUUCACAGGAUAAUGGCGACUGCUCAAGUUACAGAGAAAGAGAUGAAUCCAAAGGAUGACGAUCAAUAUAAAGUUUGGAAAACACUCGAUCACCCCACAAAAUUAAAGCUGUUGCAUCAAAUCACCUGUUCAGUUCAUUUUACCGAUUUGCUGUAGCCGGUGGAAACAGGGUUACAAUUUGUGAGUUGCCUAAUGAUGCUUAAAAUAAUCAUGUUCUAAAUGAGAAAUCUUAUAUAGAUGAUAAGGUCGUUGAAUCGUUUUUGGCUGUCAACUGGGCAGUGAAAGACGAUACGCACUACAUACUUGUUGGAAGAUUAAUGUGUAUAAUCCAGGUCAUCAAUUGUGAAGACCUUACCGUAGAUAUGGAAAAUUUUUAAUUUGAGGAAACAAAAUAGUGUUUCUCAUGUUUAAUAUUUGAUUUACAAACUUUGUGUGGUCAUGACGAUAGUAUCAAUGACAUACAGUGUAGUCCAUACGAUGAUGCACUUGUAGUAAGUGCAAGCGAGGACAAAACGGUUCAGUGUAGUCUUAUCAAAUGCUACUAGAAGUCUGAGAACUCAGUUCCACUUCUUUCAGUAGUAAAUAUAUCAUCUAGUACUUUUUUCAGUUUUACUCUUGGUAGUAACUGAUUUCUUUCAAUCUUUUUUCAGUUUUUUUGUCGUUCGAACAAAUUUUACCUCUUCUAUUCUGGUGAAGACAAAUGUGUCAGAGUGAUGUAUCUAAACGGGUACCAUGAAGCUAAAAAGUGGACUAAGAAAAAUUACAAGACCCAAAAAGGAAAACAGGUUGGCGAGCCCAUAAGUCUUGAAAGGAUAUCAGUUUCUAGCAUUGACUGUGUCAGCUGUUUGCAAACGCAAGUGUUGUCACAGAUUGGUGAGGCUGGAUUGAUUGUGUGAAAGUUUAUCAUUCUUCUUUUGAGGAUAAGGUCAAACCCAUAUGACAUUUCCGUAUUAAAGAUGGUGGAAAUUCAAAGUUCGAAAUUACUGGUAUGCAUGGAAGAUUUGCAGUAGGAAACCGAAAGGGAGCUAUUUACGUCUUUGAUGUGGAUCGUUUUCAUUCAGUUGAACUAGUUGCCAUUUCACUAUAUCAAGAUUCAAAUAACCCUAUCAUAGAGACUGCAACUAGUUCUGAUGGAAGGCAUAAAUAAAUGUAAUUAAGUUUUAUAGUUUAUAAAUUCUGGGUUAUUACAAAUUGUCAAUUUCACUUUUUUCAGUGUUGUUUUUACUGUUAACGAAAGCGGAGCUGCUAGUAUUUGGAUUAACAAUAUUGAGUCUUCCACAUUGAAUGCUGAUGUUACUGCUACCACUACUCCUACAAAUGAUGAUGGAGUUGCAGUAGCUGAACCUAAGAGAAGAGAAUCGACCCGUACGAGACGACCAAACACGAGAUACAUGGGGUGUAACUGGUAACAACUAAAAGAAAUAUAUGAAAUGAUAUGAAUUAUUAUUUCUGAAAUUUAAUGGAAUGGAAUGGAAUCAGCAUUCCACUUAUUCCAAAACGUUUUCAAUUUGGAAUGAUUUUUCAAAUGAUAGUUAAUUUUUUUCUGGAAUGGUAUGGAAUGUUAUGAAAUGAAAUUGAAUACACGUUCCAUUUUUUUA